rnacentral:rRNA from 1 species
GUGCCAGCAGCCGCGGUAAUACGUAGGCAGCAAGCGUUGUUCGGAAUUACUGGGCGUAAAGAGUUCGUAGGCGGUGCGGCAAGUUUGGUGUGAAAUCUCCCGGCUCAACUGGGAGGGUGCGCUAAAUACUGCCGUGCUCGAGUAUAGGAGAGGUAAGCGGAAUUCCUGGUGUAGCGGUGAAAUGCGUAGAUAUCAGGAGGAACACCUGUGGUGUAGACGGCUUACUGGACUAUAACUGACGCUGAGGAACGAAAGCGUGGGUAGCAAACAGGAUUAGAUACCCCAGUAGUCC